rnacentral:rRNA from 1 species
GAGUUUGAUCGUGGCUCAGAACGAACGCUGGCGGCAGGCUUAACACAUGCAAGUCGAACGCCUCAGCAAUGAGGAGUGGCAGACGGGUGAGUAACGCGUGGGAACAUACCCUUUGGUUCGGAACAACUCGGGGAAACUCGAGCUAAUACCGGAUAAGUGCGAGAGCAGAAAGAUUUAUCGCCGAAGGAUUGGCCCGCGUCUGAUUAGCUAGUUGGUGAGGUAACGGCUCACCAAGGCGACGAUCAGUAGCUGGUCUGAGAGGAUGAUCAGCCACAUUGGGACUGAGACACGGCCCAAACUCCUACGGGAGGCAGCAGUGGGGAAUAUUGGACAAUGGGCGCAAGCCUGAUCCAGCCAUGCCGCGUGAGUGAUGAAGGCCUUAGGGUUGUAAGCUCUUUUACCCGGGAAGAUAAUGACUGUACCGGGAGAAUAAGCCCCGGCUAACUUCGUGCCAGCAGCCGCCGUAAG